AGAGUUUGAUUCUGGCUCAGGACGAACGCUGGCGGCGUGCUUAACACAUGCAAGUCGAACGAAGCUUGAUGAUUGAUUUCUUCGGAAAGAAAUUUGAUAUGACUGAGUGGCGGACGGGUGAGUAACGCGUGAGCAACCUGCCCUUCAGAGGGGGAUAGCGUCUGGAAACGGACGGUAAUACCGCAUAACGUACAAAGGCCGCAUGACCAUUGUACCAAAACUGAGGUGCUGAAGGAUGGGCUCGCGUUGGAUUAGAUAGUUGGUGGGGUAACGGCCUACCAAGUCGACGAUCCAUAGCCGGACUGAGAGGUUGAACGGCCACAUUGGGACUGAGACACGGCCCAG
rnacentral:rRNA from 1 species